GAGAGGGAGGGAGGGAGAUUGGCAGAGCCAAUCUUUCUUUACAAGUAAUUGGACAAAUGACAAAAUGCUACCUAUCACUAAGAUUUCUUCUGCUUUUAUGGUUUUCCCGGCUAACUAACUUCUAAACUAACCAAUGAGCUGAGGCCAGGUGGAUUCUAGAAUGAUCCGUCCCACUUGUUCAUAACAGAAGCAUAAUUCUGUUUGGAGCCAAGAAAAACGUGUUUCCUGAAUCACGCCUUCCCUUUCUUCGGUUUGAUCAAUCGCGCCAUCCUUUUGCCGUAGACCACGCCUUCACCUUUCUUUAAGCUGAACUGGAAAGACUUCUGCACUCCAUGACACCCAUCCGACGUCGUUCUUCUCGUAUUAACGUGGCCACUGGUUCCACUCCUCCGCGGCCGUUCCAGUUUGCUUACUAGUAGGGUCGAUGGAAAUGUUGGUUCUUUACUAGAGAGAAUAGUUUAUGAUUGAAAUAUGAAGCAUUCAAUUGGGUUCGCUGCAGCAGGUUGUUAAGGGUUUUUCCUGAAGGUGUUGAUCAGCCAUGAUUUACACAGCCAUCGACACAUUUUACUUAACUGAUGAGCAACUAGAAAAUUUGCCUUCUAGGAAGGAUGGGAUCGAUAUAGCUACCGAAACUACAUUACGAAUCUAUGGUUGUGAUCUCAUCCAGGAGAGCGGGAUUUUGCUCAGAUUACCUCAGGCUGUCAUGGCAACUGGCCAAGUUUUAUUCCACCGGUUUUAUUGUAAAAAAUCAUUUGCUCGUUUCAACGUGAAGAGGGUUGCUGCGAGCUGCGUCUGGCUUGCUUCAAAGCUUGAGGAAAGCCCUAGGAAAGCGAGACAAGUCCUUGUUGUUUUUCAUCGUAUGGAAUGUAGAAGGGAGAACCUGCCAAUUGAGCAUCUGGAUACGUCUUUGAAGAAAUAUGUGGAGUUGAAGGCAGAUUUGGUUAGAACAGAAAGACAUCUUUUGAAGGAGAUGGGCUUCAUCUGCCACGUGGAGCAUCCACACAAAUUCAUAUCGAAUUACCUACGGGUGCUUGAAACACCUGAACUGAGUCAAGAAGCUUGGAAUCUGGCAAAUGAUAGCUUGCGAACUACUUUGUGUGUGAGAUUCAAAAGUGAAGUCGUGGCUUGUGGAGUUGUUUAUGCAGCAGCUCGUAGGUUUCAGGUACCCCUACCUGAGAAUCCUCCUUGGUGGAAGGCAUUUGAUGCAGACAAAUCUGGGAUAGAUGAGGUUUGCAGAGUACUUGCCCACUUGUAUAGCCUUCCCAAGGCACAGUACAUUCCUGUAUGCAAGGAUGGAGGGUCAUUUACAACAUCUAACAAAUCAUGGGAUUUAUCGCCUCAGCCACCAAGGGAAGGAUCCUUGAGUGUCCCACCUGCAAAUGAUAAUAAUACCAGCCCCAGGGGGACAUCUACUGGAGCCAAUCAAGAAUCAGGCAAGGAUGCACAAUCCAAAGCUGCUUCAGACAAAUUAAACGACUCGAAGAAAAGUGAUGGAGAAUCUAGAAGCUUGCCUACCGAUGGAGACUCAAGAGAAGAACCUCUUUCAAAAUCAAUGUCUGAGCAUAAAACAGAGGCAAGCGAGGAAAGGGACAAGAAUGAAAGGGACAGGGAUCGCAGCAAGGAGAAGGAGAGAGUGAAAUCCCGGGACCGUGAUAGGGGAAGGGAAUCUGAUCGGGAACGAGAACGGGAACGGGAAAGAGAAAGGGAAAGACAGGACAAUGAGAGAGACAGGGAUAAAAUUAAGGACAGGAGUCAUCGCUCAAGGGACAAAGGGCAUGGGGAGAAAUCGAAACAUCACUCUUCUCGAGAUCGCGAGUACCACAGUUCUUAUUCAUCGAGGGAGAAGGAUCGCCGCAGGCAUCAUUGAUAGGAUUAUGCUGCAUUGUGAUGCGAGCUGCAUUUCUGUUACUGAAUUCUGCAGUAUCAGAGAAAAUCCACGAGGAAAGUGUGAAAAUUCAAUUCCUUAAUCGACCGCAUAUCAACAUCAUAUUGCCAGGACAGUGUUUAUUCUUUUUGGCUAAACCAGGAAGUGCAGUUUAGGACUCUGCAGGUCCAAGCAAAUACCAAAAAGAAAAGGCAAAAAGUAUUUUAUCACUUUCCGUUCAUUGUUUCGAUUGGGCUCAAUUUUAUCGGAAACUUGUUUUACAAAUAUCAUUGGGAAAAACCCUACUUCAUACUUCACAUUGUUUUCAAGACAUUUAUGUUUUCGAAGAAUUGAUUAGCAGCAGUAAAAGACAUCAACUACGGUACUUUGGUCAGCAAAUCGUAUAGCAUGUCUACCAUCUAAGGUGGAAUGAAUCUGCAAAACAUUUACACUGUAUCGAGUUGUUUCGUGUUCCAGAUUCAACCAACGACUUAGCAAAAUGUUCAGCAGCAAUUAACGUA